GGUGUAGCUCAGUUGGUAGAGCUUGUCUCGCAAGCACAAGGCCCUGGGUUUAAUCCCCAUUACCA
rnacentral:tRNA from 1 species